rnacentral:rRNA from 1 species
ACGAGGGGGGCAAGCGUUGUUCGGAAUUAUUGGGCGUAAAGGGUGCGUAGGCGGUUUGGUAAGUCUCUUGUGAAAUCUCUGGGCUCAACUCAGAGUCUGCAAGGGAAACUGCCGGGCUUGAGUGUGGGAGAGGUGAGUGGAAUUUCCGGUGUAGCGGUGAAAUGCGUAGAUAUCGGAAGGAACACCUGUGGCGAAAGCGGCUCACUGGACCACAACUGACGCUGAUGCACGAAAGCUAGGGGAGCAAACAGGA